CCAACGCACUAUUGCUCCCGCUGCUGCGUGUCGAUGAGCAGCGGGUUCCUGAGGUGCGUGAGAUGC
rnacentral:snoRNA from 2 species